GAGAGCUGCAAGUUUAAAGAGGGAAUUACCCAGGGGGAGGGACGGUCAAGCAGUGCCCAAGCAGAGGCACAAACCCAACACGGAGCUAACAGCAGAGAGAGAAGCCCAGGACGCGGCUCCCCCACGGAGCACAGAGGCAGGCGGUAGGCUCCCUGAAGUGGCAUUACGACCCGAGCUUCAAACCUGGCACCAUGUGGGGAGACAGCAGACCCCCACUGAAAAUGGCACCUUAAUUAGCCUCAGGAAGAGUUUGUUUUAUUUUGGCCACAGGCCCGUUCAUCUUACUUUGCAGCUGUAACACCCACUGAGGCCAAACUAAAGUAGUGCAGGAGCUCGCCCUCUUCACAGCUGGGGGAAGACGGAAGUUCUUGGCAGGAGUGUGGAAGCUUGGAGAAAGCGAGGCCCUUGUCCUCAUUCAGGGAGCUGCUACCUCAGUAGGUGCACUGCGUGCCCGGUCACGAGACAGGGGAGGACAGAAGGAGCGCAGGCCCUCCUGGCCCAACCUGGAGUUGAGUGCGUGAGGAGACCGCUUUCCUCUCCAACCGCCUCCAGCUGUAUCCCACCUUCUUUUACAAGUUCCUGUGGUCAGGUUACCAAGCCAGGGCAUUCCUGAAGUGAAAAUACACUGACAGCGUGUUUGGAAUCUAUAAAUAACAUUUUAACAAUUACGCACAGAGUCAAAUUUAACACUAAGACUAUGGGAAACUUCUCCCCAAAACUGAAUGAAAAUGAAGAGGUCACGUGACCCUCAAAUAGAGUGAAAUUAUGGAUGAAGAAAGGAAGAUUGAAAACAAAACGUUCUUGUGUUCCAGACAAUAGUUUAUAAAAUUCUGGGGCCAAGAGUGGUGGUGGUAGUUUAGUCACUAAGUCAUGUCUGACUCUUGUGACCCCAUGGACUGUAGCCUGCCAGGCUCCUCUGUCCAUGGGAUUCUCCAUGGAGUGGGUUGACAUUUCCUUCUCCAUGGGAUCUUUCCCACCCAGGAAUUGAACCUGGGUCUCCUGCAU
ensembl:lncRNA